rnacentral:rRNA from 1 species
UACGGGGGGAGCAAGCGUUGUUCGGAUUUACUGGGCGUAAAGGGCGCGUAGGCGGCCACCGCAAGUCGACUGUGAAAUCUCCGGGCUUAACCCGGAAAGGUCAGCCGACACUGCGGGGCUAGAGUGCAGAAGGGGCAACUGGAAUUCUCGGUGUAGCGGUGAAAUGCGUAGAUAUCGAGAGGAACACCUGCGGCGAAGGCGGGUUGCUGGGCUGACACUGACGCUGACAGCGCGAAAGCUAGGGGAGCGAACGGG